AAAAAAAAAAAAAAAAAAAAAAAAAAAAGACUCAAAAAUAGGUCC
rnacentral:ribozyme from 1 species